rnacentral:rRNA from 1 species
CCUACGGGAGGCAGCAGUGGGGGAUAUUGCACAAUGGGCGAAAGCCUGAUGCAGCGACGCCGCGUGAGUGAAGAAGUAUUUCGGUAUGUAAAGCUCUAUCAGCAGGAAAGAAAAUGACGGUACCUGACUAAGAAGCCCCGGCUAACUACGUGCCAGCAGCCGCGGUAAUA